UCUCAGUUUGCACUGGCAGUCUCGUUAGAGUUCCCGACAUGACUCGCUGGCAACUAACGACAGGGGUUGCGCUCGUUAUAGGACUUAACCUGACACCUCACGGCACGAGCUGACGACAACCAUGCAGCACCUUGUGAUCUGUCCGAAGAAAAACCUGUUUCCAAGCCUGUCAGACCACAUUUAAGCCCUGGUAAGGUUCCUCGCGUAUCAUCGAAUUAAACCACAUGCUCCACCGCUUGUGCGGGCCCCCGUCAAUUCCUUUGAGUUUCAUUCUUGCGAACGUACUCCCCAGGUGGGAUACUUAUCACUUUCGCUUAGCCACUCAGCUUGCGCCGAACAGCUAGUAUCCAUCGUUUACGGCGUGGACUAC
rnacentral:misc_RNA from 1 species